rnacentral:misc_RNA from 1 species
UCAAACUUGGUCAUUUAGAGGAAGUAAAAGUUGUAACAAGGUUUCCGUAGGUGAACCUGCGGAAGGAUCAUUAACAAAUCCAAUAAUUGUGGAGGGGGGUUAUACCUCUUUUGCAAAUAUUAAACCGCCGGUCUUAUCCGAGAGGGUGAGAUUGGUAGGCUAACAUAAAUGCAUGUUUUGUAGACUGUGUGAAUUAUUAAAUUUAUUGACAACUUUUAACAAUGGAUCUCUAGGCUCUUGCAUCGAUGAAGAACGCAGC